rnacentral:rRNA from 1 species
CCUACGGGGAGCAGCAGUGGGGGAUAUUGCACAAUGGGGGGAACCCUGAUGCAGCGACGCCGCGUGGGUGAAGGAGUAUUUCGGUAUGUAAAGCCCUAUCGGCAGGGAAGAAAUUGGACGGUACCUGACUAAGAAGCCCCGGCUAACUACGUGCCAGCAGCCGCGGUAAUACGUAGGGGGCAAGCGUUAUCCGGAUUCACUGGGUGUAAAGGGAGCGUAGACGGCCAUGCAAGCCAGGGGUGAAAGCCCGGGGCCCAACCCCGGGACUGCCCUUGGAACUGCAUGGCUGGAGUGCGGGAGGGGCAGGCGGAAUUCCUGGUGUAGCGGUGAAAUGCGUAGAUAUCAGGAGGAACACCGGCGGCGAAGGCGGCCUGCUGGACCGCGACUGACGUUGAGGCUCGAAAGCGUGGGGAGCGAACAGGAUUAGAUACCCGAGUAGUC